UUCAAAACUGUUCGAACGAUGAAGCUGAUGUUCUCCGAGUCAAAAAUUUUGGUAAUCGAAUUCCUAAGAGAAUUUAGAUUGCUCGAAUAUAUGACCGGAUACAAAUUAGCUUUUAAUUAGGUCGAAGAAUAUCGUCGUUUGUGUAUUAUCGACGGAGAGAACUUCCAUCAACGUAUACAGUGGCCCAUAAAAAAGUAUAACAGAAUAACCAGUUUACCGAACGAUAAUUAAAAUACUUCUUUUUCGUUAAUUUUGCUAUUACUUGACUGAUUAUUGGAAAUACGAAAGGCAUAAGGAAACGCAGAAAAAUUCGUCAUUAUGUACGUUGCAUCUGCAUUGGGCGACAGCAAUAAUGUCACGUAAACAUUGCACCAAACCGUUCGUCGUACACGUUUCCCGAACGAACAGCCAACCCUCGGCGCGUUUAAAAAGUGAAAGUUCGGAAGUGCGCGCAAGCAACGAGAGCCUAUUCC